CUUCUGCAUUGCAAGCAGAUGGAUUCUUUAUCCACAGCUGUUGGGGAAGCCCUAUCUUUAGUCUGCUUGCCCCAAACACGUAUACACGCCCUCUGGUGGACAGAUGACUUCUGACUGUGUACUUACAUCAUUUCUUUCUCACUGCAGUUGCACCUGGGCACAAGCUUUUCCAUUUCUCUUCUAACUCUACUGGCCUCCUAGAUGAUUUUGGGGAAUACAAUGGCUAAAAAUCAUAAACGAUGGAUAAAAUUUUCCCUUGCCAGGAGUGGACAGGAUGGAGGAGAAACAGGUUGGCUUCUGGAAGAAGGAAUCCUGAGCCUCACGGUCUAGCUGUGAUGCCGUGAACUUGUUAUGAAUGGCCUCUACUCUUUUUGGACAGAGGUAGGUUAUAAACAACAGCAAACUAUCACCUGCUCUCUCUGGGCCUUAGUGUUUUCAUCUGGAAAAUGAUUUCCAAAGAGUGCAGAAUUACCAUAGAAAAUUCCCAGUGGCUCUUGUUAAAGUCAGACUUCACAUGAGACCAGGUGAUUCUGGCUCACAGCCGGACCCAGUGGAUUAAAGGUGUCAUGUUUCAUCCUCUUGAGGCUAAUUUCCAGUUCAAAUCCUUCCACAAUCAUGUGUUCUGUGUCUUUGGGCAACAUACCUCAUGUCUCAGAGACUCUUAACCGGUGACUGUGUCACACUUUGAAAAUGUUAACUUGUAUUUUUCCUUUUCCUUCUUGGCUCCUCCACUCAUUGGUUGGUGCAGCUUCUCUUUCCCCAUAUCCCUUCCUGUGACAGCAGAAAGGAGAAGGAAAAGGAGCCCUCUUACUUGUGUUUUAAUAGCCUAGACCCUUUGGGGACCAGAAAGGGCUCAGAUCAGAGGGGAAAUAUUUUGGAGGAAACAAAGCAUGUGAAAAGAAGCCCUUUUCUACUCCCGUCUCUGCCCAGAAGACACAGGGAGGAGUCUUGGAGGGGAAGGAGGCCCAGUGUAGACACAGAGAGAUCCUUGGAGGAGCUUGGCUGAGCUGCAGAGAAGCAGCCACACAGAUGUGUUUGUGGGAGCCGAGGGCAGAGGAGAGCCCUGUCUGAGGCCUCCGGACUAGGGGAAGAAAUGGUUUCCUGAGGGGUUUUGAUAAGCAACGUACUGACAGCUUCAGUGUCUCUUCAACCUAAAAUGAAAAACGAGCAGUGGACAACUGUUGGGGGUCAUGAGGCCAAAAGUGGCCCUGGGGGUGGGGUGCAGAUGACUCUGCUGUGACUUGCAGGGGCAGCUGAUGACCACAUCCAGACGGCCUUUCUCCUGCCUCCCCCACCAAACCUCAGCAUUGCAUUGGCCUUUCUGAACCUCCUGUGUGAUCUCUGGAAGAAGGGUGGACUUGAAUUAGCUGAUGUUACAUCACCAGGUUGAUCAGACCAGAAGGAAUAUGUUCACCUAGCCGAUGCAAAUUUGAGGUGGAAAAUAAGGACCAAAGGGGUUGAAAUGAGGCAUGGGGUUUGGAAGUGCUGAGAAAAGUCAGCUCGGAAUAAAAAUGCAAAGAAAGAGGGUGGGAGGGAGGAUGGGAGAGAGAGGGAGGGGGAAGGAGAGAGAGAGAUUGACAAAUCAAUCCCCCAGCCACCAGCAGCCCAGCUGGUGGGCACCAGAUGGGAAAGCGAUGAUCUACAGAUCAGGGCCUGUUAACAAGGCUGAUGGCAACCCGAGGAAACCACCUGCAGCUGGCUUUGCAGAAAAUCAGCACCCAAGCAUGGGGCUUCCAGUAAUCCAUCACGGGAACCACCGAGCCAUGAACUUGUUAAACGGUAGCCGCUGGAGGCCGGCUCAGCUCACGCUCAGCUGCCAACGCAGCAAAUCUCUGCCACCGGAAGACCAGAUGGCACCAGCGGCAGCGGUGGUCUCACGGUCCCAACAUGCACCUUGGCAGAUGCUGGGUUUGGCAGCUCCCGGGUCAGCUGAACUAACAUUGCCAGCAUCUUCUGAGUGUUUGAGAGGCGCAUCUGUUCGCUCUGGCGGACCUUGUGAGAGUCCCAGCUGCUCGUGAUGGUGGCAGCUGACCCUUCCCAGGCAGAAUUGUAUUAGAGAUUUCCAUUUCCUGAACCCUGCUCAUCGGAUAUAGCCUGUUUCCAAUUACUGUACCUACCAGUAAUUAGAUGAGAACAAACUGAAAAAUGGCUUUCAUGGGAACCACCGGCACUGGAUUGGCUUUGAAGCUUUUAAUCUUAUUAUUAAUAAUAAACGUUUUGGUGAUGAA